ACAGACACAAAAUCAACAGGGUUUAUGGGACGUCACCCCAAACGACCCUGACCAGCCACCGUGACCGUAACCCAUCACGGUCUGCUGCAAAUUAGCUAACAUUAACGUUACAACGUAUGAUAACUAAAUAAGGUGUUAAUACUUAAUGUAAUUUAGCCGUUAGCCGUUUAGCUAGAUAUUUGACAACGACUGCUUUGAACUUUCCUCAUACAAAACAACAGUUUGGGAAGCUGAGCAGCAUGAUUACAUUGAAGAGACGUCUCGGCCACGAUAGUGCAACAAUUUCCACAGCAUUUUCUAUCAGCCUUUGCUACGAGCCAGUAGAGGGAGUCCAAGACUUGAAUCUUGCUUCAACAUUUUGGCCUCAAAAACUGAAGCUUUCUACAAGCUCUCUGUCUGAGCUGCGA